UACGUAGGGGGCAAGCGUUGUCCGGAAUUAUUGGGCGUAAAGGGCGCGUAGGCGGUUGCGCGAGUCAGGUGGUAAAUGCACCGGCUCAACCGGUGAGAUUCGCUUGAUACUGCGUGACUUGAGUGCAGGAGAGGGGAGUAGAAUUCCAAGUGUAGCAGUGAAAUGCGUAGAUAUUUGGAGGAAUACCAGUGGCGAAGGCGGCUCUCUGGACUGUAACUGACGCUGAGGCGCGAAAGCUGGGGGAGCAAACAGG
rnacentral:rRNA from 1 species